GCCAGGUCAGCCUGAGGAAGUGCUGCUGACAGCACAGCUGGAAAAGAAGGCGCCAGAUUCAUGGAGAGAGGCUGAAGCAUAUCUUUGGGAAGCCAGUGCAGUAGAAUUUUUAAGAAAUUUUGGAACACUGUAGAUAAAACAACUCUAGACUGACCCUAUCUUGACCUACUUCCUCUAAAGUUCUGCAUGUAUCAGUUCCUGUAGUCUUAUCUGGAGAACAACUGUCAAUGCAUCCAAAGAUGGAUUAAUUUUCUUUAGAAAGUUCAAGGAAGAUUCUGGAACUACAUUUAAGUAACAA